ACAGGCAGAGAGACACCGACCGUUCAGUACGGAGUGGCCUCCACAACCGACAGGGACGUCGUUUUGCCACCACCGACGACGACGACGACGACGACGACGACGACGACGACGACAACGACGGCGACGGCGACAAGAACGAGGGAGGUACAUGCGCCUCCCGUCGUCCAUUAUUUCUCUCUCUCUCUCUCUCUCUCUCUCUCUCUCUCUUUCCCUCUCUCUCUUUCUCUCUUCCUUUUUGUCUAACAUCAAAGUUAUAUCAAAAUCAAUAAAGAUAUAUCGUGACAAGUGUUCGAUAAGUAUAACGAUGAAACAGUGUUGAGAUUCUUGGUAGCGGAGUAUUUACUUAGUAGUAGUGAUAGUCGGAAGAACGUUCGUCAGUAGUGUUGACAAAGUGCCGUUGUACCGAUCGAUCGUGAUCGGUGGCGGUACCAAAGGCAAGUCUCGGAAGGCCGAAGAGAAAGAACGGCAGAGAAGUAGCGGACUUGGUGAAUCGAGUAAAAAUCGAUGGCCAUCAGCGCCCAUGGGCGGCCUCGCGUUUAGGACAAGGAACAGCCCCUCCCAGAAGACCUCGCUCCGGUGGGGUGACUGCUGCCCCCCAAACCCCAAUCCGCCGUCGUCGUCGGCCCUUUGGAAGAACCGCCAACGGGACAUGCCGCCGGUACCCGUUUGAGGCUGUCCCCCGUUGCUGCGUGAUUGUACUCCACGGGGUCUUCAGAGGUAUCCAAACGUUCCGAAAUUGGAUCGGUCACCAAAUCUCUGGGACCUCCGUUUCCGUCAGCUCGAACACACGCCGCUGGAACCGUACUCCCCGAAGAUGAUCAACAUCGCUGGCCUGAUCUCGAUCAUAUUGUUUUACGCGUUGAUACUUGGCGUUGGAAUAUGGGCAGCAAGAAAGAAGGAGUCUGGAAACGAUUCCGAGGAGGAGGUCAUGUUAGCUGGCCGUUCGAUCGGCUUGUUUGUUGGAAUUUUUACAAUGACAGCAACAUGGGUAGGUGGAGGAUACAUCAACGGUACAGCAGAGGCAAUUUACACGAGAGGUCUGGUCUGGUGUCAGGCACCAUUUGGAUACGCUCUAAGUCUUAUUUUUGGUGGCAUAUUCUUUGCAAACAAGAUGCGACAACAGGGGUACAUCACGAUGCUGGAUCCGCUUCAAGAUGCAUUCGGGGAACGAAUGGGUGGUCUUCUAUUUCUUCCUGCCCUAUGCGGCGAGGUAUUCUGGGCAGCUGGGAUCCUAGCUGCUUUGGGUGCCACGUUAGCUGUCAUCAUCGAUAUGGACCAGGGUGCCUCCGUCAUUCUAAGCGCCUGCAUCGCAGUUUUUUACACUCUAUUCGGCGGCCUCUACUCCGUCGCUUAUACCGACGUCAUCCAACUUUUCUGCAUUUUCAUCGGAUUGUGGAUGUGCAUCCCGUUUGCCUGGGCCAAUCCAAAGGUAGAAUCACUUAGUUCCAUGGAGGUCGAUUGGAUCGGCGAGGUCAAACCCGAGGAGUAUUUUUAUUACGUAGAUUACGGGUUAUUAUUGAUAUUUGGUGGCAUACCUUGGCAAGUUUAUUUCCAGAGAGUACUUUCAUCAAAAACAGCAGGAAGAGCUCAACUUUUGAGUUAUGUUGCAGCUGUGGGAUGCAUACUCAUGGCUAUUCCUCCUGUUCUCAUUGGAGCAAUCGCCAAAGCAACACCUUGGAAUGAAACAGGUUAUCACGGGCCAUAUCCAUUGACGGAAACCGAAACAAGUAUGAUUCUACCAAUGGUCCUGCAAUAUCUUACACCAGACUUUGUUUCCUUUUUUGGAUUGGGUGCUGUAUCAGCAGCUGUUAUGUCAUCGGCAGACAGUAGUAUCCUCUCUGCCAGUUCGAUGUUCGCUAGAAACGUUUAUAAGUUGAUCUUCCGGCAGCGAGCAUCGGAGAUGGAGAUCAUUUGGGUAAUGAGAGCAGGCAUAGGAGUAGUUGGUGUUCUCAGUACGGUGAUGGCUUUGACGAUACCUUCUAUCUAUGGGUUAUGGUCGAUGUGUUCCGACUUGGUUUACGUUAUCCUCUUCCCUCAACUCCUAAUGGUCGUCCAUUUUAAGGAGUACUGCAAUACUUAUGGCAGCUUAUCAGCUUACAUAAUAGCAUUCAUGGUGAGGAUCAGUGGUGGUGAACCAUUGAUGAGUUUGCCAGCAUUGAUCCAUUAUCCUUGGUACGAUGAGGAAACCAAAACUCAGAUGUUCCCAUUCAGAACAAUGGCGAUGUUACUUUCCUUGGUGACAUUGGUUGCCGUCUCGUACGGUACGCAGGUUGCCUUUGAAACUGGUAGAUUGGCGCCUGGAUACGACGUCUUUAGGUGUGUGGUAAACAUACCAGAAGACGUCGAACGUGUUGGACCAGAUCCAGCAGAAGGUGAACAAAUGGCAGUCCUUGCCGCAGGAGCUGGAAAGCUCUAUGGUAGCAAGGACGAAUCACACGGUCGAGUGAAUCCUGCGCUCGAGCCGGACUACGACAUGGAGCCGGGUUAUAAGGCUGUCGGGUCACCUGAGGGGGUCGUCGAUGGCGGUGGAGGUGGGGGACAGUUAGGUCUUCAUGGACCUAAUGUACCUCGUCAACCACAAUCCAGCACCGCGUUCUAAUUCCUGGUUUCAUGAUCGGAUGCUGUGACCAACAAUAAGUGUGGCGGUACGGAGUUUUCCUGGGUACCCAUUGCUUUUAUAAAACUCAUGAAAGUGAUACGAGGUCGAAGGUCGUAUCUCGCGGGACGAACACAUAGCGUGAUUAAUAUUGGUAACCACCAUUGCUGGCGUAACCCUGACCACCGCCAGAACCGCCACUUCCAAAGCUGGGUGCACCGUAAUUCGAUGAGGGCCUACCGCCGCCACCUCCACCACCAUUGGAAUAACCGCCGGAUCUAAAAGAAAAAGAAAAAAAAAAAAAACUUACCCGCCACCGAAACCACCUCCGUGGCCACCUCCGAAGGAAGGUGCUCCAUAGCUCGAUGAUAUACCUCCGCCUCCACCGCCAGAGUAUCCACCACCACCACCACCACCAUUGCCUCCACCACGUGAGGGUGCGCCGUAACUGGAGGAGGGUGCUCCACCGGAGAAUCCGCCACCACCGAAACCACCGCCACCUGAGUAGCCGCCGCCACCACCACCACCACCGUUACCACCCCCAAAGGAUGGUGCCCCGUAAGAGGAAGAUGGUCUUCCACCUCCUCCGUUCGAUGGUGCUCCGUAGCUCGAAGAUGGCCUACCACCACCGCCUGAGUAUCCACCACUUCCACCAGCACCACCACCGAAACCACCACCGAAACCACCACCGAAUCCACCGUUCGAGGGUGCUCCAUAGCUUGAUGAAGGCCUUCCUGCUGAUGGUGCUCCAUAACUGCUCGAUAUUCCUCCACCUCCGCCACCUGAGUAGCCGCCAUUGCCACCGCCACCACCUCCGGAAUAACCUCCUCCACCACCACCACCUCGCGACGGUGCUCCAUAACUCGAAGAUGGUGCACCACCACCACCACCACCACCUCCAAAUCCUCCGGAACUAGGAGCCCCAUAACUAACAGAAGGUCCACCACCUCCUCCACCACCGCCUCCGCAACCACCAAAACCACAUCCGCCUCCUCCGGUUGGUGCUCCGUAGCUCGUCGAUAUUCCACCACCACCGCCAUUACCUCCUCCUCCUCCUCCUCCUCCUCCACCACCACCUAGAUUCGGUGUUCCAUAACUAGUAGAAGGUGGCAGAUAACUACCAGUGAGUGGUGCUGAAAAUUAAAAGUUUUUUAUUUAAUUUAAUGAUCUUUCGUGAGGAUUAAUGCAUGAUGAACAAUCGAAAGUCCCUUGAUUAUCGUUCGAAUCAUUCGUGUUCUAGAGUAUGACCUACUGCUGAACUAGAUAAGCAAAUCUCUCUGCUCUUCUUUAACUAUCUCUCUCCCUCUCUCUCUCUCUCUCUCCAAAGAGUUUACCAAGACUCGGUGAAAGUAACCAGGGUAAUAUCUCGGUAAGAGACGGUAUACUUUAUCGGAAGCUUUAAUUUAUCCUCUCGUUCACUUUCCUAGAUCCUAAUUACUUUCGUAAGCUCCUUCUUAUUGCGAAUUUUUAUAAUUUAUAAAAGAAACGAUUCGCGGCAAUUAUGUCCCCCAUGGAAAAUGAAAACUCAUCGGGAUUAGAAAGAUCCCGAUAUCGUCUCUAUGGACUUUGCGGUCUUGCGGUUUUACUGGCAUUGAAAGUGAUCAAGGUGAUCUCGAGAUGAUUGAAUGACGUGCCUACGGAAUAAUUUAAUCGAUACGCGAGAUUACAAAAUAAAACGAAAUAGCGAGUCAUAAAAAAAAAUAAUAAAUAGUGAUUCCCCUUUGAAAUAAAAUAAUUUUCAAAUUUGAUGUGAUUCUAAUGAAAAAUAAAUUAAUCAAUUUAAUGAGAAUCUAUGUUGGUUCAAAUUCGACAAUUGUUAUUCCCCGCUUUGAAAUAAAAUAAUUUUCAAAUUUGGAAUGAUUCUAACGAAAAAUAAAUUCAUCAAUUUAAUGCGAAUCUACGAAUAACUACGACAAAAAUAAUUAUUCCAAGCCACUUCUCUAUUCGAGUGGUUACACGUAUAUUCGUGCAUUGUAACAAAUUUUUUCGUAAAUUCGUACUUAAUCUUAAUCGAACGAAAUACUAGCAGAUUAACAAAAAAAAAAAAAAAAAGAAAAAUAUUCUCAUUAUAUAAAUAAAUAUAUUCUUGUUUUUUUUUCGAUUUCACAAAAAUGACUUCGUUACGGUACACAAUUGCUGAAGAAGAGAGAGAGAGAGAGAGAGAGAGAAAGAGAUUACACGAAAGAUAAUCGUUUCCGUAAUAAAAGACGGAUGGUAAUCAAAAGUUAAUGAUGUCCAAUCGUCGUGGAAACUCGUAUUGCUACAUGUAGAUACAAGACAGUGAUCAGAGGCUGAUUCAUUGAUAACGUAGCUUGUAACGCCAAGGAAGAGCAAUUACUUGGUCAAUCUCGUAGUUCGUGUAUGUCGAAAGGAUGAAUUAAAUAAUAAUGACAAAUAAAAAGAUAAAUAAAUAAUGAUAAUAAACAAAAGAUAAAAGAGAAACGAACAAUGCAGACGAGACGUGUUAAAUGAUUUAAGAAAAGGAUCUCGAUAGUGCACAUCUCCGAUGCAAUUAGUACUGAUUUGUACGUACGAGUACGAAGACAAUCGAGUUGCUCUAAAUUCUCACGGCGUAACAAUGGUUUUGCUGUGCUUAGAAACGUUACACAUGCGUACAUAUAUAUAUAUAUAUAUAUAUAUAUAUAUAUAUAUAUAUAUAUAUAGAAAUGGUAAACAGUUUCGAGGUGCUUAGAACCUGCUAUGUAUACAUAGAUCCUAAACGAGAGAUUACAAGCCACGGUUUGCGUUCAUCAGAAAUACAUGCCACGCUUGUGUAUUCGGUUCGUAGAAACGAAAUCAGUGAGUUGCUUUGGAAUUUGAAUUUUUACAAGAUCGAUGAGAAAGAUAUCGUAUCGAAGGAGGUCACGGUCGAUGAACUUUACGCCGAUUAAACUUUAAGACGAAUUAAAUAUUCGAAGAAAAAAAAAAAAAA